CUAUAAUGGACCAACUGUCGCCAACAUACACUACAAGGGCUCAUUGAGAUCAAUAUUUAUGUGUAGUCAAACUCUAGUAGACUCACUACGAGCAGCUGAAGCACUGCAGGUCUAAGGACCAGUCAUACAACUGCAGCAUUAAGAAAGUCACUAACGAGUGAGUAGAUAUCUAUGUGACUUUUCAUGUUGGUCAUGCUCAGUGCUAGUUGUUCUCUAACAACUACCUGCACUCUCACUCCAGUGUCCCUACACCGUAGACUCGAGACCCA
rnacentral:lncRNA from 1 species